rnacentral:rRNA from 1 species
GAAUUCGAUUAACGCGAAGAACCUUACCUGGGCUCGAACGGCUUUGGAAGUCUGGUGGAAACAUUAGAUGCCCCGCAAGGGGCCGGAGUCGAGGUGCUGCAUGGCUGUCGUCAGCUCGUGUCGUGAGAUGUUGGGUUAAGUCCCGCAACGAGCGCAACCCUUGUCCUGUGUUGCUAUUCGCAAGAAGCACUCUCAGGAGACCGCCAGCGAUAAGCUGGAGGAAGGUGGGGAUGACGUCAAGUCAUCAUGGCCUUUAUGUCCAGGGCUACACACGUGCUACAAUGGACGGUACAAAGCGCAGCCAACCCGCGAGGGGGAGCAAAUCGCAAAAAACCGUUCUCAGUUCGGAUUGCAGGCUGCAACCCGCCUGCAUGAAGCUGGAAUCGCUAGUAAUGGCAUAUCAGAACGAUGCCGUGAAUACGUUCCCGGGCCUUGUCACACCGAAUCACUA